CUAGAGGCAACAACACGGAUGGAUCUUACAAGCCUGAUGUGGAACAAGAGAAGCCUGUCCAGAGACUAAGUGAAUGGAUUUAUGUGGUAUGCAAAAACAGGCAAAACCAAAUCAUAGUGUUUUGGGAGGUAUGCUUACAUAGUAAAGCUCUGAAGGAAAACAAAGAAAAGGCGACUAAAGAGAAUGACAACUUACACAAUGCAGAAUCCUGGAUUGGAUCCUAGAUCCAAUCAACGUGUAGGGAAGCCUUUUUCGGCAAGGCACAGUGGCUCAUACCUGUAAUCCCAGCACUCUGGGAGGCUGAGGCAGGAGGAUAACUUGAACCCAGGAGUUUGAGAACAGCCUGGGCAACAUGGGGAGACCUCGUCUUUUAUUUUUUUCUAUUAUUUAUUUAUUUUUUAAAAUGCCUUUUUCCCAGAUGCAAACUUACUCAAAACCCAACACAAAUCAGAAAAGUAAACCUUCUCUGGCUAAAGCAGAGGCUAGGAUCCAGCUCAGCCUAUCUCAAACCCUUGUGAAUCAGUGCCAUAAAACUUGAGGACUGCAGAAAACAGUGUAAAAGCCAAAACGACUACUUUGCUGCUUCAUCAAGCAAAGAAACAAAGGAUCAGAGAGGGUGGGACCCUGACCAGGAUUACACAGGUGAGAGAC
ensembl:lncRNA novel transcript, antisense to NUP214